UUUCCUUUUUCCCCCAAAACACAAUGAAGCAAUAAACCUCUUAACUUAAACAACACAAUGUUCAGAAUUCUUUUUUCUUUUUUAAAACACACAAAAAGUCACAUGUUUCACAUUUUCUAGACUCGUUCAGGUUAUCCGGCCGACCAGUAUCCUUGCUUCAUUGAAGCAUGUACUCGGUUCCAGGCCGGACCACACAGGUAUAUAUUUAUAGGAGGGCUGGCAGAAAUGUUAGCACGCUGGGCAAAAUGCUCAGCAGUAUU